GGAAAGGUGAGAGAGAAGGGGGGUGACAUGCAGCACAGGGUCAAGCAGAUGCAAAGGACUUAGCCUACAUUGGGUGCACACUCUACCAGCAUCGCUGACCAGUGUGUAACUCGGCCACACGCUCCUUCCUGCCCUGCUUAUCAUUCAUAAGAUUCAGUGGAGUUUGUCGGUGCUAGAAGAAGAGGAGGGGCUCUUCCUCUCCAGUCUUGCACCUCACGCUGUGAGAUAUUCAGUUGCAGGCUCUCCACACCACUCAGUCUACCAAUUAACAGCCUCUGACAGUGCGAUUGGCAGCCAGAGUAUCAGCCUGACACACACACAGUAUUUAUUUUCCGGACGGCGAGAGGUGAUGCUCGUGUGUUCCCGGUGCUGCAAGCAUCUUUCCCGGAGCGGACACUUCGCAACCCGGUGUGGUUUUGGGUGCACAGGGUGUCAGGCAGGAGCAUCCAGCCACUGCGCACGGACUGAUUUCUGCCAUGCAUCCGCAUUGGAAAAUUAUGGGUCAUGUUAUUUCCCUGCGUUUUGAUGUAUGAUCAUUACACCAUGUUUUUUCCCGAUUUAUCAGACAUAUUUCCUGACAAAACAUCUCAUUGCUGGCAGCUGCGCGCUACCUGUGCCACAUCUUUACUGACAUCUCUGCAUGUAAGCUGUGCUUUGUAGAUUUUUCCCCCUCCUUUUCUUUGCAAACCAUCACCAUCAUCCCUACAGAAAAGCCUCUCCAAUGCUGGCAGCUGACAUCCCGCCAGCCUACUUAAAAAAGCGUGAGGAUCGCGGGGUGAACCGACAUGGAUAGUGGGAGCCGGGCUGCGACGGUCGGAGACGGUGCAGCCAAUUUCACAGCAGCUCACCUCUGGCUGGAUCUCCUGAACGCCUCGAGCCCGCCGACACGCUGGGACAGCAGCCCAGCUACCGAGGGGACCGGGCUGGAGGAGCAGCAGCGCCUCAUCCGAGAGCAAGCCUACCGGGACUUCACCACCACCAUCCAGGUCUUCAUCCUCAUAGGUUCGCUACUCGGAAAUGCCACAGUGUUGUGGUGCACCUGCUGCACGAACGUCUUUAAAACCGUGACCAACCGAUUCAUCAAGAACCUGGCGUGCUCGGGUAUCUGUGCCAGCCUGGUGUGCGUUCCCUUCGACGUGGCGCUGGGAGCCAGCCCUCGCUGCUGCUGGUGGCUUCACACUCUGCUGCUCUGCAAGGCCAUCAAGUUCCUCCAUAAGCUCUUCUGCUCUGUCACCGUGCUCAGUUUCAGCGCCAUCGCACUCGACAGAUAUUACUCUGUGCUGUACCCGUUAGAGAGGAAGAUCUCAGAUGCAAGAUCCCGCGAUCUGGUCAUCUACAUCUGGGUCCAUGCAACUGUAGCAAGCCUUCCCGUCUUCGCUGUGACCAACGUGACGGAUGUGUACGUCACCUCGUCCUGUUCCGAUGACCACGCCCGCUCCCUGGGCCACAUGGUGUACGUUUUGAUCUACAACGUCACCACCUUGAUCCUUCCUCUGGCGCUGGUUUUCCUCUUCAUGCUGCUGAUCCGCAGAGCACUCAGUGCCAGCCAGAAGAAGAAGGUGAUCAUCGCGGCGCUGCGGACUCCCCAGAACAGCAUCUCCAUCCCGUAUGUGUCCCAGAGAGAGGCCGAGCUGCACGCCACUCUGCUGGCUGUGGUGCUGGCUUUCUCAGCCUGCAGCGCCCCCUAUGUGGCAUUGGUGGUUUAUCGCACCAUUUUGGCAGAUACUAAAGAGCUACCCAUCUCACUGUAUCUGACGGCCCUCUGGCUACCCAAAGUCUCUCUGCUCACCAACCCGCUUUUGUUUCUGACUGUUAACCGCUCCGCUCGUCACAGCUGGCUGGACCUGCUGGCCAGGAUUCACAGACGUUACAGCCGCCGUAACGUGGUCAGCACCGGGGGUCUGGCCUCUUUAGGAGCAGAGGGUGUGAUCGGGGAGCCGGUGGGACUGGAGACAGCCGGCCGCUCAGGGAGCCAGCUCCUGGAGAUGUUUAACAUCGGCCAGCAGCAGAUCUUCAGGCCAUCUGAGGAGGAAGGGGAAGAGGAGGACGUAGAGAAUGAGGUCCCUUCUCAAGCAUCAGGAGGCUGCUCGAAAGAGGACCACAAAGGUGGGUCGAGACAGGGGAGCCUCAGAGGGGAGGUGAUCACCAAAAAGGACCCUGUGCAGGGGACAGGAGGGCUCAUCAUCACCAAGGAUUGCCCUCCGUCAAUCAUAGCACCCCGGGGCUCUCCGGUCCACACGUGUGCUUACGCCUCUUCGUCUCAGGUGGCGCCGGCUACACCCACAGAAGCCGAGGACUCCACGCAGUUCGGCUUCGGACCCUUUGAGCUGCCGCCUCAGUGGUUACCAGAGACCAGGAACAGCAAGAAGAGGCUGCUGCCACCGCUGGGCAACACACCCGAGGAGCUGAUCCAGACCAAACUGCCUCGGCCGCGGCCUGAGCGGAGAAUCAGCAGGAACAACAAGGUCAGCACCAUCCCCACUGUGGACCCCUGAACUAUUCCUGCUGGCCUCUGAUCUGCAACACUGGACACGACUCAUUACAGAGCAGAUUGUCGUUUCCAUGCCUGACCUUCUAGCUCUCACUCUCAGACUGUUUUCCUGGUUUCAACUUGGCUCGCCUCUGACCGCCUCUCCUCAUCUCUGCCCCGGUAAACCUAACAGCCUUUGGUCUCCAACAACAAGUUUUGUCUGUGCACUUCCUGGUUCUUGUCUGCCUGUGGCUGUGCGGUGUUCUGCUUCGGCUCUGUCGCGAGAGAUCGCCAUUAUUCUUGCACGUCUUCAGAGCCUCCCGCCAAGUGAAUAAUCUCCUCAGUGUGAGUGCCGCUGAUGUUUAUUGUUCCGAUGGUACAUCGAUUCCCCGCCUGUCCUCUUUGAUCCCGCUUCCUGCUCCUACUGGAUUUGUCUGCUCUGCUGCCUGCCUGCCCGACACCAGCUGUGCUUCGUCCUCGACCACAAGCCCUGCCUGCACCUCUCUGGAGUCUCCGUGCUGUAAUUGUUUCUGCAACUUACCUGAUACAUUCACCUGCCAGUCCGCUCCACAUUCACAAUUUCCCCACUCGUACUCUAAACUGUCACCUGUAAACGUGAGCUCACCCCAGUCAUUGUACGAUCUCUGCUCCACCCCAGAACUGAUUGAACCGGAUUAUACUCACCUUUGCUCCUUUCAACCUGCCAAAAGAUUAAAAAAAGGUCUACUACUCUCCUGCUCUGCUGUGGUAUAAUUGGAUCC